UGGGAUGACGUCAAGUCAGCAUGGCCUUUAUAUCCUGGGCUACACACACGCUACAAUGGGAAGGGACAAUAGGUUGCGAAGCCGCGAGGCGGAGCCAAUCCAGCAAAACUUCCCUCAGUUCAGAUUGCAGGCUGCAACCCGCCUGCAUGAAGUUGGAGUUGCUAGUAAACGCAGGUCAGCCAUACUGCGUUGAAUACCGGUUCCCGGGGCUU
rnacentral:rRNA from 1 species